UACGUAGGGCGCAAGCGUUGUCCGGAAUUAUUGGGCGUAAAGCGCACGUAGGCGGCUUUCUAAGUCGGGGGUGAAAUCCUGGAGCUCAACUCCAGAACUGCCUUCGAUACUGGAGAGCUCGAGUCCGGGAGAGGUGAGUGGAACUGCGAGUGUAGAGGUGAAAUUCGUAGAUAUUCGCAAGAACACCAGUGGCGAAGGCGGCUCACUGGCCCGGUACUGACGCUGAGGUGCGAAAGCGUGGGGAGCAAACAGG
rnacentral:rRNA from 1 species